CCUACGGGUGGCAGCAGUGAGGAAUAUUGGUCAAUGGACGAGAGUCUGAACCAGCCAAGUAGCGUGAAGGAUGACUGCCCUAUGGGUUGUAAACUUCUUUUAUAUGGGAAUAAAAUGUUCCACGUGUGGGAUUUUGUAUGUACCAUAUGAAUAAGGAUCGGCUAACUCCGUGCCAGCAGCCGCGGUAAUACGGAGGAUCCGAGCGUUAUCCGGAUUUAUUGGGUUUAAAGGGAGCGUAGGUGGAUUGUUAAGUCAGUUGUGAAAGUUUGCGGCUUAACCGUAAAAUUGCAGUUGAAACUGGCAGUCUUGAGUACAGUAGAGGUGGGCGGAAUUCGUGGUGUAGCGGUGAAAUGCUUAGAGAUCACGAAGAACUCCGAUUGCGAAGGCAGUUCACUGGACUGCAACUGACACUGAGGCUCGAAAGUGUGGGUAUCAAACAGGAUUAGAUACCCCUGUAGUC
rnacentral:rRNA from 1 species